rnacentral:lncRNA from 10 species
GUGGUUUGCAAAAAACUUCUUUUCUGAGCACUUCAACAAAGGUUGCCGUGAACAGUGACUGUCUGACAGCAAGGGAUCCUGGUCGCCUAAGGAGAAGACACAGGAGUAAUGAGAAGACACAGGAGGUAGAGCAGCACUUGCUGACUCAGAAGCAUUAACAUGAAACGCUGGAGUGCAGGGCACAAUAAUGGUUGACUGCAGCCUCAACCUCCAGGGCUCAAGGGAUCCUUCCACCUCAGCCUCCCCAGUAGUUGGGAUUACACAGAUAUUUCAAGAUUCAGCAUCAUUUCAGACCCUGAAAAAUCCCUGAAAAUUGAAUUCUCAAUAGAUAAUGCAACUCCACAUAAUAUCUGGAUUUUGUAAAUGCUUGCUAAUAAAUUAUUUUACAACGUG